ensembl:lncRNA
CACAGCAGACACAGAUUCUUGAAAGUCAGGGCUUUUGACCUGCAAGGGUCAGAAUACUCCAUUUUUAAAAGGCUAAUCCAAGAAGACAUCUAGUUUCAGCUAUAAUUAAUAGUUUGGAAAUAAGAUAAGAGUCUAUCCCUGGAGAUUAGGUAGGUAUUGUCCAUGUUGGGGGAGGAAAACUCAAGAGAAUAUGACUUUAAUUUUAGAAAAUUACUGUCUCCUAAGAGAGUAAUGGCAUAUCAACACAAUAUCGCAAGAGAGUAACACUGUAUCAAUACGAUUUUCUAAAACAAAGAAAGUUCAAAUCUCAGUUCCGUAACCUGGAACUGAGAUAUAAGUGAAUAGAGUUCUAGAAUCUCCAACUACACUUGGGGGAGGAAAGUGCAGGAUACUGAAGGGGCCUGUGUCUUGUGUUUCAGAUGGUCUGAUACCAAAUCUAUGGAAAGAAGUUGAAGUGCUGGAACCAAGAGCUUUUCAAAAAUCCAGGCGUUUGGCACAGUGUUCAAAAGAAGGGAGUCCUAGACUUGCUCAGUUUUGAGGCUGCACGUCAAGUACCUAAAAAGCAAUGUACUUAAACAGAGUCUGCGGCAUUUUCAAGGUUCAUCCUAAGUACCUAGCAAAGAUUGGCCCCAUACAAGAUGAGCUAUGUAACAUGUGCUCCUUCAACAUUUGUUUGUUAAUUUUUCCAAAGCUAAGAAGAAGCAUAUCAAUGACUCUGGAAUCAUGGUAAACCCACUGGCAAGAUCUUCGUUAUGUUUGAAUAUGUAUGAUUCACUUAUAAUAGACUUUCUUUUUGUAGGAAGACAGAUUUACAUCAUGUUGACCAAGUUUUUGUAAUCAUGUCUAUAGAGAUCACAUCUUUUGAACUUUUUGUGUUCAAAUACCAGCUCUAGCAGUGUGACCUUGGGCAAAGCAAUCGCUUCAUUCCUCAGUUUCUCCAUGUGUAUAGCGGGGAUGAUAUUAUUAUCAACCUCAUCAGAUUACUGAAAGGCCUAAUGAACUAAUACACAUUGAUGUUUCUGGCACAUAGUAGGUGACCAAUAGUUGUUUGCUGUCAUCACUGCAGUUAAGGAAUGCUAUCCAAGCAGUACUCUGUGUAAAUACUGAGCCUAGAACUUCCUAUGAAGAAAUGUUAAAUAAUGUGGAUGAGGAGCUUGUACCACAUUGUGAUCACAGAGCUCUACACACUUUAUCUCAUUUGAUUGUUCCAGUAACUCUUAGGAGGUAGAACCGGCAGGAAUUAUUUAUUAGUAUACUCAUUUUAUAGAUGUGGAAACCGACCUUAGUUAACUGACCCCAUAGCUCUUCAGGAACUAGGCAAUUGGUUUAUUUGAACUACAUCCGGAAGAAAAAUGAGUGCCGAUAAAAAUCACCUGUUUUGUUUUUAUUUGGCCAAAGUUCUUACACUGAGUUUGAAACACUCUUGACAUAGUUUCAGGGGCGUAAUAUUUCAGUUUUCUAUAUCUUCUUUCAGUUAUUUAUACUCUUAUAUACCUAGUCUUUCCCCCUUUCUUUUGCCAGUUAUAGAAAAACAAAUAACUGAAUAAAACACACCUGUGUGCUUCUCAGGUUCGGGAAUCACUGGCUUCCAGGUAUCUCUAGCCUUGGUACCUUUGUUAAUAAGUAUCCUAUAGUCCCUCUGCGCCUCAAUUUCCCAUCUGUAACAUGGGAAUAACAAUACUCACCUCUGUGGGUUUCCUAAGUACUGAAUUAAUACAAAGUGCCUAGAAGAGUACCGUGCAGAGUGAGUGUUCAGACUGCAUUGCUGGAACCUUGAGGCCAGCACCCUCCAGAGAGGCACCUGGCUUCAGGGACUCUUUCAGGCCACCCCUCCUUUGCUCUCAGUCUCCUGCUGGUGCUCUUCAUGAAGAUCAGUGAAAAUUGCAAACGACUCAUGGCUUGAAGCAAAAGGUAAAAGAAGAAAGUGAUCAAAGAGAAAACAAAGCAAGGAAAAGGAACAGUGAGGAAGACACGCCUUGGUGAAGGGCAGGAAGGUUGGAGGAGGCCUUGAAGGGAUAUAGGAAAGUCUUAGGAAGAAACCAACUAGAAUCACUAUUGAACUUAAAACAUAUUUCCCUCCCUUAUCCUUUUCCUUAACAUUUUGAUGGACAAUGUACGGACUUUUGGUAACACUUCCCAUUUUUGCUAUAAAAUUAUGAAUAUGCAUUGUGUGUAUGUGAGGUCAAAAUUAUUCCGUUUUUUAAAGGUCAGUUAUCCUUAAGCAUAAGGAGACAAACACUAAACACAUCCAGGGAUAUGCACUGCAACAAGGACCUGAAUUCACAAGAGUAAGAAAAUUAAGCCUCUGAGGAAAAUUAGCAUACUGAGCCACUGUUGUAUCCCACUUUGCUGUAUGAAACUAUUUCUCAUUUCUGUUAUGUACCAUAUCACUGUGCAGACUCUUAAAUAUUUUGAAUGGUUACUGGUUAAUAUUUAGACAUCAGUGCUUCCAAGAAAUCCUUUCUCUUUCUUCAUAGUAUCUAAAACAAGUUUUUUUCAUAGAAAUGUGUUAUGCCUAUUAGUUCAGUAAAACUUCUGUGUUUCAAGGGAAUGAGUAGAACAAGCUUUUUGAGCCACCAAAGGACGAUUUAUAUGUUUUAUUCUAAAAAACAUUCCUGACUGGGCACCGUGUCUUAUGCCUGUAAUCCCAGCACUUUGGGAGGCCGAGGCAGGCGGAUCACCUGAGGUCAGGAGUUUGAGAGGUGAAACCCUGUCUUUACUAAAUAUACCAAAACUCGCCGGGCAUGAUGGUGGGCACCUGUAAUUCCAGCUACUCAAGAGGCUGAGGCAGGAGAAUUGCUUAAAUCCAGGAGGAGGAGGUUGCAGUGAGCCAAGAUCAUGCCACUGCACUCCAGCCUGGGCAACAGAGGGAGACUCCGUCUCAAAAAAACAAAUAAAUAAAAUAAGUAAAUAAAAAUAAGUAAGUAAAAAACAUUCAUAUGUGCUUGAACAUUAUUUAAAUACUGUAAAAUUUCUGAACUCUAAACUAGGCUGGCACCAGUGACUCUUCAGGGUCACCAUCCUGUCUUUGAUGUUUUCCUCAAACUAAGUAGACCUGGUGUGUUCUUAUCCCUAAUGAGAGGGGUAAGAAUUACUGCAUGAAGUAAUUAGUAGAGAGACAAAGGUAAUGUACAGAGAUGAAUUCAUAAUACAACAUUUAUCAUGUAAGGUCUAGAGCCAGGACUCGUUCAACCUGCCCCAGAUAAGCAAAUGUCUUUAGAGAAGAGAAUGAAGAAUUUAAAAUGUAUCCAUACCUUAGAACCAAUGGCAGGAUUUUACUUCCAGAUCACUUAAUUUAAAAAUACAGCUGAUCCCAAAUAACACUGGUUUAAACCACCUGGGUCCACUUUUAGGCAAAUUUUCUUCCACCUCUGCCAUCCUUAAUAUGGCAGGACCAACUCCUCUUCCUCUUCCUCUUGGCCUACUCAACAUGAAGAUGACGAGGAUGAGCUUUAUGAUGAUCCACUUCCACCUAAUGAAGAGUAAAUAUAUUUUCUCUUCCUUCUAAUUUUCUUAAUAACAUUUUCUUUUCUCUGGCCUACUUUGUUGUAGGAAUACAGUAUAAAAUACAUAUAGCAUACAAAAUAUGUGUUAAUUGACUAUGUUACUGGUAAGGCUUCAGUCAACAGUAGGCUAUUAGUAGUUAAAUUUCGGUGGAGUCAAACAUUAUAUGAGGAUUUUUGACUGUGCAGGGUUUGGCAACGUUAACCCUUGUUUCGUUCAAGUGUCAACUCUACACAUAGUCUAAAAUUUCUGGCUUUAAAUUGGUUGCAUCUUAGCCCAACACUUUACUUUAACUACGUUAGAAACAUGGCAAGUCACAGAAGCAG